rnacentral:rRNA from 1 species
ACGCUAGCUACAGGCUUAACACAUGCAAGUCGUGGGGCAGCGGAUGCUUAGCUUGCUAAGUAUGCCGGCGACCGGCGCACGGGUGAGUAACGCGUACCGAACCUGCCCAUCACACAGGGAUAGGCUUGCGAAAGCAAGAUUAAUACCUGAUGGUCUCAGUUGUAUGCAUGUAUGAUUGAGUAAAGCCUUCGGGCGGUGAUGGAUGGCGGUGCGUCCCAUUAGGAAGUUGGCGGGGUAACGGCCCACCAAUCCUUCGAUGGGUAGGGGUUCUGAGAGGAAGGUCCCCCACAUUGGAACUGAGAUACGGUCCAAACUCCUACGGGAGGCAGCAGUGAGGAAUAUUGGUCAAUGGGCGGGAGCCUGAACCAGCCAAGUAGCGUGUGGGAUGAAGGCCCUUGUGGUCGUAAACCGCUUUUAUCAGUGAAUAAAGUGCACCACGUGUGGUGUCAUUGCAGGUAGCUGAAGAAAAAGGACCGGCUAAUUCCGUGCCAGCAGCCGCGGUAAUACGGAAGGUCCGGGCGUUAUCCGGAAUUAUUGGGUUUAAAGGGAGCGCAGGCGGGAGUGUAAGUCAGCUGUUAAAUAUCAGGGCCCAACUCUGUUAUGCAGUUGAAACUAUAUUUCUUGAGUACGCACAGGGAUGGCGGAAUUCAGGGUGUAGCGGUGAAAUGCUUAGAUAUCCUGAAGAACUCCGAUCGCGAAGGCAGCCAUCCGGAGCGUAACUGACGCUGAGGCUCGAAGGUGCGGGUAUCGAACAGGAUUAGAUACCCUGGUAGUCCGCACGGUAAACGAUGAAUACUCGCAGUUCGGUCAUUAUGAUUGAGUUGUCCAGCGAAAGCGUUAAGUAUUCCACCUGGGGAGUACGCCGGCAACGGUGAAACUCAAAGGAAUAGACGGGGGCCCGC